GGUUUCGAAUGCUCACUAUACGAGCGACGAGUAGCUGUAAACGAGCAAUGGAAGAAAUUUUCGCAGUUGCUUAAAAAUUUACCUGUCUAAUAUCAAGCGUUAAAUUAAUUGCAUUAUCCAGCUAGAGGAAAAGGGUAGAAAAAAUAAGUGAAGGAAAUUCUGCGAGUCAUCCAGCGUAAAAGUCAGGCAGGCGAAAUAAAAUAUAACGUAUAAUCUCUACUAAAUUUCGAACGAACUUCGAAUGCCAAAAGCUACAUAAUUUCGAAAACAACCCUCUAAUAAGCGCAUUUCCAACACAUAAAAAGCAAUAAACCAAAAAAAGAAAAGGUAAAACCAAAACACAACACCAAUUCGCCCGCCAUCCAAACGUUAACCCUCUGCUGUGUGUGUACGUGUAUUUGUGCGUGUUGGCCGUCAGUGUCGGUGCUAGCAUCCCAAGUAACCCAAAGUGUAUUUCUGCAGACAAAAUAGCAAAUUUGCGGUUUAUCUAUAGCCUACCUGCCGCACCCCAAUCGCCCACUCACCUCUGCAUACGGCACAGCAGCCGAAAUCAGUAACAUCAGAAGUAACAGCAACAGUAACAGCAACAGUAGCAGUAGCAGCAGCAGUAGUAGUAGCGGCGGCGCCAGCAACUAAUAUUCAAUUUCUCUCAGUGCUCAGUGCUUUUAGUGCAGUCGUCGCAGUCUCAGUCGCAGUAGCGAAACAAAGCGAGGAAAAUCUCAACGUUAAAACAAAAAUAUUUAAAUCUUUGAAACAAAAAUGGGCAAGAAAGAUAAGAAGAAGGAGGAGGCGGAACCAGCACCAGCUGCCGAUGCACCACCAGCUGAUAAUGCCGCAGGUGAGGGUGGCGAUGGUGAGAUCGUUGGUGGACCACGCAAUCCUCAACAGAUUGCAGCACAAAAACGAUUACAGCAAACGCAGGCACAAGUCGAUGAGGUUGUCGAUAUUAUGCGAACAAAUGUUGAGAAGGUGCUUGAGAGAGAUCAGAAGCUAUCGGAAUUGGAUGAUCGAGCUGAUGCCUUACAGCAGGGUGCUUCGCAAUUUGAGCAACAAGCUGGUAAACUAAAACGAAAAUUUUGGUUGCAAAACUUGAAGAUGAUGAUUAUUAUGGGCGUUAUUGGACUGGUUAUUGUGGGCAUUAUUGCAAAUAAACUAGGAUUAAUAGGCGGCGAAACACAGCCACAAUAUCCACAGUAUCCACAAUAUAUGCCACCACCACCACCACAACAACAGGCACAAGCGCCAGCUGCUGGCACCUCAUCAUUGGCUGACGACGGCAGUGUCGGCAACAAAGAGCAACAUGGUGCAGUAUAAAGCUUUUCACGGCAAGCAAAUGACUUCAGUUAAAUAAAUGGUGAAAAGGUGAAAAGGUGAAAACCAAUAUAUAAAGGAGCUAAAUGAAAACUUUGUUGAAAGUGUCAAAACAUAAAUAAUGGUCAAGUUGUUAAAUGCAACAGUUAGCGGCAAGAGUUUAAGUAAGGCGCGCACACAUAACCUCAAAAAAACGCCAAGUCAAAAUUUUGCGAUUAACUAUGUGUGCGGUAAGAAGAAGCAGAACUUUUCUCUUUGACGUUUUCUUCUUUUUUUUUUUUUGGUCUCUCUUUGUUGG